UACGUAGGGGGCGAGCGUUGUCCGGAGUUACUGGGCGUAAAGCGCACGCAGGCGGUCUGCUAAGUUUGGAGUGACAGUUGGUGGCUUAACUGCCAAAGUGCUUCGAAAACUGACAGACUUGAGGGCUUCAGAGGGACACGGAAUUCCGGGUGGAGUGGUGAAAUGCGUAGAGAUCCGGAGGAACACCAAAGGCGAAGGCAGGUGUCCUGGGGAGUACCUGACGCUCGAGGUGCGAAAGCCAGGGGAGCGAACGG
rnacentral:rRNA from 1 species